UGAACUCUUAACAUCGCAGUCAUUGUCUCAUUUCACAGUCAAAGUACGAGGAGAAUGAGGCCAAAGAGGCCUCGUGAUGCAACACAGGCUGAAUACUCACAGAACUCUGUUUGGUAGUUGUUCAACCGCAGUGCUGAAGGAUCAGAAUACCAACAGUUAGUGUCCUACUCCCCAUUCAUCCAUCCAUCCAUCUAUUGUCUGUACCUACUGUGUCUUCUGUUCAGGCUAGAGUGCACCCCAGCAUUCACUGAGCAAGAGGCAGGGGAACACCCGGGAAGCACAGGAGGAAACCGGAGUACCCAGAGGAGAAGCCUUGUGAAGUCAAGUCGUGUCAAGUUUAUUUGUACAGCUAAAGAUCACAUUAAAUGUCUCAGUGGGCUUUACCCAGCCUGAGCUCUCCAGGAAGACGAGGAGAAACUCAUUGCAAAGAUGAGCGCCGAGGAAAAAAGAAGAAACCUCAGGGGAACCAACUCAGUGAGAGAUCCCCCUUCUUCUCACAGCUGGAGGUGCAGUGGGAACUACACAUGAGAAAACGGUGCAAAAGAACACAAAGUUGUAUAUAAAUGCAACAAAAGAAAAAGGAAGAAUGAGGUACACGCAAGCACCUCUCAGAAAGCUUCAGAGUCGGCUCAAACCCAACAUGCAGAUCAUCCUGUCUGGAUGCUCCCUUUGUGCUGCGUGUCUUAGGUGACCACCACCUUACUAGAAAUCUAGUGGUAAAAGACUAUAAUUGCAAAGUUUAUCGACCCCCACUGUGGUGACUGAAUUUUCAUCCGUGUAAUUAGGCCCAUAUUCAAAGUUGAUUUAUGAGGCUCUUGUUCACCGGGAGUCAGUUUUUCGGAGAAUCUUGUAGUCAUCUGGCUGCAUUAUAAAAAUAAAAAAAAAAACUGAUCUGAAAAAUUAAUUAAAAUCUGUGGUCUGUGUGAUAAAGGGUUUAAUGUAUUUGCCAUAAAGGUCAGGAUCACAGCGGUUUAUAUUUGUGGCAUUCAAUUUAAAAUACAGUAAACUGAUCCUACAUGUUUUUGUUUUUAAUCAGAGUUCACGAUUGUAUUCCAGACUGAGCAUACAUCCUAAUGCAACGGUAAAUUUUCACCGACUGAUCUGCUUUUGAACUGUGUGGAAUAAGUUAGAGAGGUCGUCUGGACAUCUGCUGGGUGCAAAGGGACAAAUAAUAGAGAAUAUUUGUGAGAUUCCAUUUCUAUUUUUAUAAAUAGUUUUUUCAUUGAUAUGUAUUUGAGAUCUAAAUCCGCCUUUUAAUGACUCUCGUUGCCGCCUAUUGUCUUUUUAACUAUGGCACCCACCUGGUUGAUAGUGUUUGUUGUGCCUUUUAUAGCUUUUGUGACCCAUUCAUUCAAAGUUUGUGCAGGACUCCUUGAAAUUACCCUUGUAUGUUUCAUUUUCCUUGUAACAAGGACAACCUGGCACGUAUGAAUGUGAAUAGAUGACAAUGAUGUCGCUGGUCA